rnacentral:rRNA from 1 species
CCCUUAGAUGUCUGGGGCCGCACGCGCGCUACAAUGGAUGAAUCAACGCGUCAUCCUGGCCCGAAAGGGUUGGGGAACCGCUGAACCUCAUCCGUGGUUGGGAUUGGGGUUUGUAAUUAUUCCCCAUGAACUAGGAAUUCCCAGUAAGCGCGAGUCAUAAGCUCGCGUUGAUUACGUCCCUGCCCUUUGUACACACCGCCCGUCGCUACUACCGAUUGGAUGGUUUAGUGAGAUCCUCGGAUUGGUCACGGCACGGUGGCAACACUGCGUCGGUGUGCCGAGAAGACGAUCAAACUUGAUCAUCUAGAGGAAGUAAAAGUCGUAACA